UGCUAGUAAACGGGAAACAGGGAGAAAACUGCUAGACUAUGCCAUCCCACAGUGGAAACCGGUAGGCGAGGAAUGCCGUUAGGGGAAUACACAAGGUUGAAGCGCUGAUAAGCAGUAAUUAUCCGCAAAAGUACGAUGCUAGUAGUGACCGAAAAACAUGAUAACGAUAAUCUAGUUUAUAAUAAACUAAUAUGAAUUUAAUUGAAUUAUGAUAUGAUAGGAAGGAAUAAUUGAAAACAAACUUGCAUAAAUAAAUAAACAUGAUUACAAUGUAUGAUGAAAUAAAAAGUUAUAAAACUUUGAUCUUAUAUAUACUUAAAGAUAUAGAAAUUGUUGACCUAAAAAAAGAAUUAGAUGGGAAAAAAUAUUUGAUCAUGAUAUAGAAGACAUAUUAAAUCAAGAAUGGUAUGAAAUAGAUUCACAAAAAUUAGAUAUAGAAAGAAUAGAUAAUAUACGAUUUAGAAAUAGAUUUAGAUUAAAAUGAACUUUGACUAUCUAGAAUAUUGGAUAGAAACUAUGAAAAAUAUAAGAUUAUUAAAACAAUUAAUACAAGAAAAUUUAUACAUGUACCAAAGAUCUCAAGAUAUGUUAUACAUAGAAUAUAUAAUAAAUAAUAUUAAAGAAAUAUUUAGAUUAGAACAGUUAUCAAAAGAACUUUAUAAUAAAAUAUAUUUUACUCUAAAUAAAAUAUAUUUUACUCUAUAAAAUAUAUAUCUUACUUUAUGAUGAAUUCCGCACCCCCAACAUUCUAUAAAAUAUAUAUCUUACUUUAUGAUGAAUUCCGCACCCCCCCAGUAACAUAUUUGAAAGUUUUCGAUAAUCAAUAUUAGUUAUAAAUAAGUUCAGACUGUUAAAAAAUGUACACUACAACAACAUAAAUAAUUUUUUUUAUUUUGCGAUGUCAAACAUUCACCACUUUUUGUUACUGUUACUUGGUUACUCUACCAAAAUUUAUAGAAGUAAAAUAAAUUUGAACCAACAACAAAAUAAUAUUGUUGUCCCUUUUAGAAUUUCAUUCUUCAAUAAAGUGAUACUCUGAAAGCGCUUCUAGAUGUGUCAUCAAUGCAAUAUUACGACUUGUUCAGAAAUAUGUAAGUAUAAUAAUUGCAUUCUAAAAGUACAAGUAGAUAAAAAUGUUGAAUUCUAGACUCAUGCUAAAUAAAUAUUCUCCAAUAUUUAAAAAUUAAAAAUGAGUCUAAUUUAGAUAACUCAAACACUCAAUAAUGACUUGGUACAAGAAGGACAUCAAAUCUAUAUUAAUAGACAUUAAGAUAUUACUUUUAUUUAGAGUCUGUUUUAUUUCAUAUUUUUCAAAUUAUGUUGAACAAAAAUAUUCAUAACUCACACAAAAAAUAUUUUGAAGAGCCGAAUGAGAAGGAAAAAAAAGAAAAACAUUAAAAGAACGAAAAGUUUUGUCCAAGUGAGAUAACAUAAAUACCAAAAGAAAAUUAAUCAAUACAAUUGUAAGAAAACAAUUGAACAAUGAGAAAAAAACUACAUUAAAAGGGGGUAAACUAUGAGAUAUCCAAUGAUGAUAACGAAGCAUUCUAACCAAAAAAAGUUCCUACGUUAUGAAAUAAUAUACCAUAAAAAAUGACUAACACUUCAAUUAACUUUCAAUCCUUAAUGUCCUCAUGAUAUCCACUGAUAAAUUUAGUAAAAUACAUAAUAACAACAUAAAAAUAAAAAUAUUGACAUGCAAAUUUAUUAACUGGCAAAGGUUUUUUGAAAAACCCAAAAUGACAUCCUUGUAUGUGAAGUAAUGUUGUUGAUGAAGAAAUUAUUGAUUUGUAAGGAUUUUUUAAAUUGUAUCUUCAACAAUUUCAAUAGAGAAAAGUUACUUCAACACGCAAUUAACAUUUGUUACUUAAUUUGUAUCAACAAAUAUAUAACAAUAACUUUGCAUAAAAAUAGACAACAAAUUUUAAAGCAAGUAUUCAAAACAAAAAUUUAUAAUAUAGGCAUAAAUUAAUGUAUGUAAAAAAGUACUAGGAUAUCCGUUGAAUGCACAGUGUUCCCUUAAGGGAGUUAUUCUCCUCUCGUACCCGAUGUUUAAAGGAUUAAAUCAUAUCAAGAUAUAACUAUUCUAUUCACUAGUGCGUUGAUAUAUAAACAAUGAUGUUAGUGAGUCAUUCAACAGGAGCAAAGUGCAGAGCAAUUUGAUUGUCCAAAAGAAGAAGAAGAAGUUCAAAAUUUUCGUUGUUUUAAAAUGAGAGAAAAAUCCCCUAUUUAUAGACAACAAAGGAUAGUGCAAACAAAUGAUUAUUUUGUCUUAUUGAAAAAAUAACAACUCUUUUGAAAAAUUACAACCCUUUGGAAAGGUCACAACCUUUAAUAAAAGUCGCAACUUUUUGGAAAAAUUACAACUCUUUAGAAAAGUUACAACCUUUCAUAUAAAGGCAAAAUAUUUAAAAAUGACAACUCUUCAUAAAAGUCUCAUCUUUUUUUAAAAGACACAAUUUUUCAUAAAAUUUAAAGAUUAGCUUUGAAAAAAAAUUAAAUUAAAAGGAAAUCUGAUUUGUAUAAAAAUUUAACUCCAUUAUUGAUAUUGUAAAUUGAUUAAUGUCUACAGCCUCACUUGCCAAUGUUCGAUUGGAAGGCAACACCCAACACUUAUCGCUUAAAACAAAAGUUGAUUUAAACUAGAAUAAUAAAUAAAUAAAUUGGCAUUAUACAAGAAAAAAUUAAACUAGAACAAUAAAUAAAUAAAACCCGUUUUCGAGAGCCUAAAAAUACAAAAAUUGCUACAGGAGGAUCAAAUGUGACCAAACUAUUUUAGGUUUUCAUUGAUUUAAUUUGCUUAUUUGCGUGGCAUAUAAUCCCACCUUCACUUUUCGUUGUUCAACUUCAAUUUUACGUAUUAUUUAAAAAAAAAUAAUGAUUAAUUGAUGUAUAAUUUUAGCUAUUGAAAAUAAAGGGAAUAUAAAUAAUUAAUAUUGAGCGUAAAAUAAUUUUUUUCUUAAUAACUUAAAAUUAAUAUGUAAAAAUAAGAUUUAAUUUUUAAAAUAAUGAACAAGUAAAAAUUUCUUGUGGCAUGACUUAAUAGCAGUGGCGGAUCAGGAUUUAAAGGUUGUGGGUGCUCACUUCCUUUAACAUAAAAUUCGGUGGAAUUUUUUUAAAAAAAUAAAUGCUACUGGUGGGAUUCAAACCCUCGCUUGUUGGUGCGCACGCCUCUUAUUGAGGAGGUUUAAACCAGCUCACCCACAACUGCUUUUGUUCUAUGGCUGCUCGUUUAAAUUAUAAUAAUAUAUGUAUCAUAUUUUCUAUAUAUAUAUAUACAUAUAUAUAUAUAUAAAAUUUCGGAAAUCAAUGGGUGCUCGAGCACCCGCGUCUGGCUUACUGGGUCCGCCCCUGCUUCAUAGCUAUAGCCUCUCUCUUUGAAGCAAUAGACAAUAAAAGGUGCUUUAAUUAUAUUAAGCUACUACACCUUGUACUUGUACAGUUGUACAAAAUAUCAUUUCAUAAAAAUCUGGAAUUUUUGACCAAAAUAAGUCAUUUUAUAAAUCAAUUCAUCAAAAUAGUAUGUUUUUAAUUUUGUUUACAAAACUAGUAUAAACGUGGUUCACAGUAACGUUUUAUACUUUAUUUAUUUUUUAAAAAAAUUAUUUUAUUUUAAAAAAUUUAAUGAGAAAAGGGACGGUCUGCUAACGACGUUAAAUAAUAAUACGUAACUGGAAAUUACGUUUUAACUCUAAUACGUUAUUGGGAAUAACGUUUUAAGCAUAUAUAAUUUAAUAAUAAUACGCAACUGGAAAUUACGUUUUAACUCUAAUACGUUAUUGGGAAUAACGUUUUAAGCAUAUAUUAUGCCUACACUAGAACAAAAAACCCCCAAUUUAGUUAUAUAAAAUUGGGGAAGAAACUCCUUUUUCCAUUGAAGCGUAAAACAUAAAUUAGCCCCUUCUCCUCUUUCUCCCUCUUCUCUGUGUUUUUUUUUGAAACGAGAAAGAUAAAAGGUAUUAUCGCACUCGAUUGCAACCCAUAUUUCCCCAAACUCGCCGGCACUCGGCUGAGACCAAAACGACAAAUUGGGGAAGAAAACCCUCCAAGAAAACCCACUUCAUUCUCCAAACCUACAUUCAAGUUACAAGGGAUGAAGAGAACUAGCAUCAAAUCUCGCUCCAAAGGCACAAUGGAGUUGAAGAAUGUUGUAUCUGAAAAGAGGAGGUGAAAUUUUUAAAACUUUGAAAACGGCUGCAGAUCUGCUUUAAAAAGGUAAAAAAAACUUUGAUAAAGAAGAGUUCUUUUUGUGAUUCAGGUAAUUUUGUCAUACAUUGAUUUAGUUUAUCUUAUAGUUGAUGAAUUUGUUAUUUUCCUUUGGUGAAUUGAUUUAUAGAAACUUAUUUUGGUCAAAAUUCAGAUUUUAAUGUUGAUGUAGGUUGACCCUUGCCACUCUUACCAAAUCUUUGAUUUGGGCAUGGGAGAGAGUUACCGUCCUUACGCCUCAGAUUGUAGCAAAAAGAGAUACAAGGAAUAUUUUUCCUGUUGGUUUACCAAGGGGUCCACAUGGUGCUACAUUACCAAGGGGUCAAAUUGAUUAGGAAGAUUUAUACCAAUGUCAUUUUGAGAAAAAUCUCUAGCAUUAUUGAUAUCUUCAUCUGAUUCACUUUCACCAUCAUCUUUUGAAGGUUCAUCUCCCUCCGAACAUUCUUCACUAAUUUAAGCAUUUACAUCAUUAUAUGGAUCAACAUUGUUCUCAUUUUCUCUGUGGAAAAAGAAGUUCAAUUAAAUUUUAGAAAAUUAUGAUA